rnacentral:rRNA from 1 species
UACGAAGGGGGCUAGCGUUGUUCGGAAUCACUGGGCGUAAAGCGCACGUAGGCGGAUUGUUAAGUCGGGGGUGAAAUCCUGAGGCUCAACCUCAGAACUGCCUCCGAUACUGGCAAUCUCGAGUCCGGAAGAGGUUGGUGGAACAGCUAGUGUAGAGGUGUAAUUCGUAGAUAUUAGCUAGAACACCAGUGGCGAAGGCGGCCAACUGGUCCGGCACUGACGCUGAGGUGCGAAAGCGUGGGGAGCAAACAGG